rnacentral:lncRNA from 1 species
UGAGAGACCACGAGCAGCAGGCCUGGAAGCACCAUGCUGGCUGGAAGAAAAAUAGCAAGUUGUUCGGCCACAUCUUCACGCUGCAAACUUCUGCACUCCACGCAUUCGGGCCUUGAGAAGACAUGUCCAGAAAUCUUUGACGGGCUAUAUCCAGCAAAAAUACGAUGCUGCAUAUGUUCAUUGGAAACAAAAUCUCUCACGCGCUAGGAGUGAUACACACGGUCCAAAGCCUUGGUCCAACAUCACUUUGAAGAAGCAUUUCGUUCAGCAGGUUGCAGCACCCACGUACACACCAGCUGCUUACGGGCUGAUUGAUUCCAGCCUUGAAAACACAUCGGAUCCAGCAUUCUUCAACUGAAAGCUCAUGGCCCAACAUGUUUCUUCACAAGCAUCCACCACUCCAUCAAAACACAACAGCAGCAACUGAGGAGCUUCAUUUGGUCCAACUGCUUGAAGAAGCAUGGUGCAGCCCAUGUACCACACACGAUGCAUCCAGCAACGUCCAACAGCUUCAUUCCUGCAGCCCAGCAACAACCUUGCACACUGCCUUCACUCGGCCAACAACAUUUGGAAAGCACACAGCUGCAGCACCUCACUCUUGCAGCAGCAGCCUUGGCCCACCUUCCUAUUUUAUUUGAAGCACACAGUUGUAGCAUAAUCUAGCAAUCACCAUCCAGCAAGUACUUCCUCACUCACGACCCAAAGGGAAUGGAGGUGCAGCGGUCUUCAUAUGGAAGCAGCAUGGGAGGUGCAAGCAAGUCCAGCAGCACGUGGUGGCUGUAGAAGAAAUGGUCCAACAAUAUUGAAGGAGCUUUGACGUGUAGGCCUUGGCAGCAAUAGGCUGGAUUAAAUUUCUCGAGGAGGUGCACACUUGAAAAAAAGGGGGUAGCACGUUGCAAAUAACAUCACAGACUGGGCACAUGGAGGACUUUUAGCACAUCAUCUUUUAUUUAGGAGAAGCACACUGUUACAUUGGGAGAUAUAGGGUUUUCUUUAGUUUUUAAUAAGAGGUAGGCAGCAGCCGCCACUCUCCCAUAUUUUUUUCUUUUUCUUUAACGUUUUUUUGGAGAGCAUGAGGAAUGUUUUGAACGCUGUGUUCAACUGGA